ncrna:unclassified sequences RAGATH-35 RNA
AUAUGGUAAGCAACAGUUCAGUACUGUUUCGGGAUGGCUUAUCAGAAACUCAUCAGCGGUUUUCUUUCCCUUAUCCGUUUGAGUGGU